GGUGGGCGACCUCGUGUCCUGCCCGCUACCUGGUCAUGGCAUCAAUCCAAUCAUCGAAGGCUCCGACAU
rnacentral:sRNA from 1 species